AGUGAACGCUGGCGGUAGGCCUAACACAUGCAAGUCGAACGGCAGCACAGUAAGAGCUUGCUCUUACGGGUGGCGAGUGGCGGACGGGUGAGGCAUACAUCGGAAUCUACUUUUUCGUGGGGGAUAACGUAGGGAAACUUCCGCUAAUACCGCAUACGACCUACGGGUGAAAGCAGGGGAUCUUCGGACCUUGCGCGAUUGAAUGAGCCGAUGUCGGAUUAGCUAGUUGGCGGGGUAAAGGCCCACCAAGGCGACGAUCCGUAGCUGGUCUGAGAGGAUGAUCAGCCACACUGGAACUGAGACACGGUCCAGACUCCUACGGGAGGCAGCAGUGGGGAAUAUUGGACAAUGGGCGCAAGCCUGAUCCAGCCAUACCGCGUGGGUGAAGAAGGCCUUCGGGUUGUAAAGCCCUUUUGUUGGGAAAGAAAAGCAGCAGGUGAAUACCCCGCUGUUCUGACGGUACCCAAAGAAUAAGCACCGGCUAACUUCGUG
rnacentral:rRNA from 1 species